AUGUUUGUUAUCAGAGAGAGGUGCUAUGAACACAGAGCCAUUUUCUUAGCAGCUCUUUGACUCUGUGUUACCAUAGUCCCACACGGUAUUGGUCCUUUCCCGUUGGGAAGUCAUGAAUAAGAGACUAUGAAGCUUGCACGUCAGAUCUUCCUCAAUUAAUCCUCCAUUAGCAUGUUUGGGAUCCUCUACUGGAUGGUUAACAGCAGCUUUGGUAACUGUAUGCUGUCCAUACCCAAUUAUGCUCUGCUAAAAAUGAACUCUGCAGAACAACCUUCCUGAGCUGUCAGUGUCUCCCGUUUUCCUAUUUUAACGCUUGUGUGUAGUGGCAGGCGACAGAUGGUGUAGAUCAGAUCGAUUUGAUUGCAUUAGGCGAUUUUUUUUUCCUCCUCUCCCCCCCGACUCCUUUUCUGGAAGCCCACAUUCAUCUGAGAGGCGAUCGCCGGGGACACGGGAAGCAAGAGCAGCCGCCGAUGUGUGAAAGCAACGAGACAUGGCCAGCCAGAGGCGCCGGGGUCCCUUCCCGGGGUUUGUUAACAUGGUAAUCCGGCACCAGGAGAGAAAGCUGCUUUCUGCUGCCCAGAGCCCAUUCCCCAUCACACAUCAGAUGACUCCCUGGUUUUACACACAGUUGGAGUUCUGCUCGAAACCUGGAUUUAAAGGGAAUCUGUUGCUGCGUGUGACAUCUCUUGCAAGCUCCCAGAGAGAAUUGAUGGAGCAUACAGCUAGGGAAUAGGAUGCCAGAGAAGCACAGAGGAAGAAACCAGGCAAUCACCAGGAUGGGAAGGUUCCGCAUCCGUUGGAUAUGGGACAAGAUCACUCGGCAACCCUUGUGGAUUCUCCUUCUUCUAGAGGGCAAUUAUAGUUAUGGAUUUAUUGUCCCGGUGCAACACUUCGACCACCACCACCAGCAGCAGCAGCAGCAACACCAGCAGCUUUCUGACUCUCUUCGGUGACGGGUAUUCUUGGGUGGAUAAUACGGAUUACGUUGUUAUUGCUUAAGAAUACGCGUAGUCGAGGAGAGUACCGGCGGCGGGCAGGCAGGCAGGCAGCGCGACCGCCCCCAGCCCACCAGCUGGCUCCUCACCUCCUCUAGUUGCCAAGGUGACCCUCGCACCCUGCCUACGCUCCAUGCUCCCGGUUGUCAGCCCCGCGAUGGCAGGCAGACAGACAGACAGACAUCUGGACUCCCACUUCCCCUGGCCACCGCACCGGGAGUUUGGUGCUCCUGGAGCCGCCUGGGCGCCGCGGGACACCCACCCAUCUGCCAGAGGCCUGACCCAGCCCCACCGCCGGCCGAGACGCUGCCGGGGACAGCUUCACCCUGCUUGCUGCUGCCUCCUUGUUCUACUCCUCUGAGUUAUGCCCCAGCCCGCUGCGCCGCUGCCUCCGGGCUCUGCUGAGUUUUCAAUUAUCACAAUAUACAAUGCAGAUGCUAUGUAAAACAGCUAGCAUGACUCAGUAGCAGGCUGAGCUCAGUAGAAAUACAGUUAAAUAAAAAGGACUGCUAUAAUACCAGGAGGCUGAUUGGAACCGCAAGAUACCAGUGUCAUAUCCUGUGGCUUUUAUGUUGGUAGAUGUAGAUUUUAGCCAUUAGAGUCUAGCUAUCCAGCAGAUAACAACCAGAGGAAAUGGAUCUGGGUAUCUUCAAUUGUGAAUAACUGAUACGCUUUCACCAAUAAAGGGAGGACCUGGUAAACUGCCAGAAGAAAACAAACUUUUGAGAUACCUACAAAUAUAAUUAGGCAUGUAAUAUGUGGUAGCUUCUAACUGUGUGUAACUUAAACUCCCUGAUUACCCACAAUAUAUUUAAAAUGGUGCAUGGAGAGAGGUCUGACUUCAGAGAACUCAUGUGUGGUUACAUUCUCAACUCCAAAUUCAGGCAAGGAAAUAAAUAGCAAUUGCAUGUCUCAACUAACCUAUUUGUACAAACAGUAACAAACCCCCAGAUCAGGUAUCAUGAUAUCUAGGUGGGGGUAAAAUGCUAUGACAAAAGAGAGAGAAAUAAGCAAAAAAUACAGUAGUGUAAAAUGUGCCUGUUAUUAUAUUUCUAGAAAAGCUCAGCAGCUGGAAUUUUAGAAUGUGCUAUGUAGACAAAUGUAAAAAGAGCAACACAUUAAGUGUUUUUUUUUUCUCCAGAGCAAAAUGAAAUAGGCACACAGAGUAAAUUAUAAUAUUUAGUACUUUCAGGGCAAAUUCUAGUUGAGGAUCAUGAAGUAAUUUGAAAAUAUUAAUGAAUUAGCCUCACAGCUAGCUUUCAGGUAGAUAAUAAUGAUAAUUAUUACUAUAAAUAAAUAUUAUUAUUAUCAUUCUUGCUCCACGGAAAUGAAAAUUGAGGCAUAAAGAAUUUAUGUAUUUGUCCAAAGUCUGUGUUUUACUACUGUAACCAUCCUUCUCUAGAACCAUUAUAUAUAAAUUUUAUCAUUUUCCAAAUACUGUCUGUGAUAUACUAUUCAGUUUAUGAGCUCUAAAAACCAACCAGCUGAGCUUCCUUAUGAAACAGUGCCUGUGAACAUCUCCAUUUGCAUUUGAAUUCUCAAGCAGUGACAAUCCUGCUUAAAAAAAAUAUAAAGAAAAAAGGAAUCAUGAAAAUCAGUACAAAAUCUGUCAGGGCCCCAUCUGUGACUGGGUAUCAGAAUAUCGCUAAGAAGCUCUGAGGAACAAAGUUCAUUCCAAGUCUAACGCAUAGUGCUUUUUGGUGGAUGAAAUUAAUUCAAACAGGGUGAAAUGAGGGCACAUACCAUAGAAAACUCUGUUCCUCCGCUGAGGAGUGAAGGAAAGCAGCAUCUCUGCUGCGUGUGUGAUCUCGGGUCUGGUACAUGUAGUCAUGCUUAAAUACUAAAGGUUUAACAUGGCAAAAUAUUCAGCGUGCUCACAUCUCCUUUUGAUAGCUACGUAUACCUGCUGCUUUUCUGAGGAGUCUCAUGGAAUGGGUGAUCUCUGGUCCUGACAAGAUGAGGACUUAGAUGAUACGUGCUUGUUGCAAACAGCAAGCUUUCAUAGCCAGCUACCUGAAGUAGUAUGGAAACAAACGACUCCUCCCUGGCCUUGAAAAUACCCCUACAAACAUGUUUACUUCCUUCUGAAUGGGAAUAUAUAAAGGUUAGGGACACUUAUUUGUAUGUUUAUAUAUUUGUAUGUAUGUUUGUAUAUUUAUAUAUCUCCUCUUCAGGAUCUGAAUUCCUAAGAGUCUUGGCCUUAGCUUUUUGCUCUCACACAUGCAAUAUUUGGAAUUAACUGCAGGAAAUAGGAGAGCCACAGCAUUAACAGCAUUUUAAUACACCGUAUUAUUUUUCUUUCCCUUUUUUUAACCAUUAGAGUAUGCAAAUGUUCAGUUAACUGGUCCUCAUGUUUUCUCUUUAUUGAAUUGCUUUCACUAUGGCAAAUAAAUAUUCAUAAAGAAAUGUGGACAAUAAAUCAUUUCAAAUAGUUCAAAGACAUUUUGCUUGUAGACUGCAUAUAUAUUCAGCUGUGACUUGCCUUUAAUAUUUCAUUCAAGAGAGAGACGUGUAGAAGGACAAUGGAGAUAAUGUGUCAAGUAGUAAUUAAAACAGGGGGUAAUGAUUAAAACCAUUUUGAUUUACAUUGUGCUCUGUCAAAUUCAUAAUCUCCUGUGUUUGUUAAGAUGACUUUCUACUUGUUUUAUACAGAAACUCAAAAUAAAUUUCUGUUUGAAGACGCUGCACAGAACAAAAGAUUUCAGCCCUGAGCUUGUGCGGUGCAGAGCCUUUCCCAUCUCUGGAGUUUGGGUAAAUAUUCUGCACCAUCCUAGCAAGAUAAAACUCAGGCAGGCACUGUCCCUCCUCCUAAUACUGUGACUGCUCUGGGAAGUAGAUCCAGAUGCAGAACAGAAGACAGCCAAGGGACACCCUAGUGUGUACAGGCACAUGCAACCUGUCUCACCAUUUAGAUUUAAGCUAAGAGCUCCAAAAAAGUCGAAGUUAAAGAUUUGGUUAGUUUAUACAUUUGGGGAUCUUGGUUCAAAUCCAAGUAACAAUGUUACUUGGAUGUUGUGUCAUUAUAUGCGUUUUGGCUACUAAUACACAUAUUGGCCCAAACUCGUUAUCUUUCCUGAUUUGUUGCUGACUUUAGGCCCUGAUUCAACACAGCACUUACAUACAGACUUAAAUAAAUUGAUUCAGGAAAGCAUUCCUCUUUGUGUUUAAUCUUCAGCAGACAUUCAACUUCGAAAUCAAUGGGACUUAUGAACAGGCCUGACCUUGGGGUCUAAAUGGUUGCUGAAUCAGUGCAUUGACAGAAACAUACUGGAAAAGAUAAUAUCCAUGUCUAAUCAGAAUUAUAGCCUCUACUUUCAUGGGAAAUUACCCAUAGAUAACACAUUAUUCUGCUCAAGAAAUCCAUUUUAUAGCAUUUAUUAGAAAGCCUUAAUUCACAUUGUCUGUUUAUGCCAAAGAUAGCAGAUGAGCAGUGUCAUUCCUUGAUAGUGUAUCUGUAAUAUUGUUUGAAAGAGAAAAUAAAAUACAGGAAAAGUGCUGGCAUAAGGGGCCAUUCCUAAUUAUUUACUGAGACUUUCUCAAUUGCCUGCCACAUGGCAAUACUUUGGAGGACGGGCAGGAGGAAAAUAAGGCAGAGUGGUUCUGAAAUCCCAUGGACAUGAAGAAAAUUGCCUAUGAAAUACCAUGUUAUGUAGUAUCUAAAACUGAAAUUCCUCACUUAGAAUAACAUUUAUAAGAGCUGUUUGUCCAGUCUACCUAUGGAAUUUUGAGUGAUCACAUGUUUUUGUUAUACCAGAGCAGCAAGAGUAAAAGGGGUGGAUGUUUCUGGUAUUGUGGUGUACAGGUUAUGCAAGUGCAACUAUGGCCAAAUCUAUGAAAUUACGAGAAGCAGUUGGUAAAAUAAUUGAUCCUAUGUUGCAUGAAAUAAAAUAAUCUUCUUGCUAUUCU